GGGUCAAUGAUGAGACCUCAUACUGUCUUGAAUGAGAUGAUGACAUAAAAAUCAUGCUCAAUAGGAUUACGCUGAGGCCC
ensembl:snoRNA SNORD115 Small nucleolar RNA SNORD115